CAUAGCGACUGCAUAAUAAGCUUCUUAUGGAGCUUAGCCUAGUACCGGGGAAAUUUCGGAGAUACACCAUAGACUGCAAGAACGAAGCGUAAUAAUACAGCUGCAAUGGUUGAAGUGGUGGGACAACCCCAGCUCAUGACGUAUCUCAACAGAUUGAAGCUGCAGUUUGUGAUCGAAAUGAAGGUUUUCAACGAAACCAAGUUUCAGAUAAAGAAUUACCUGCAACUCGAAGAAUUCAUUUGAAAGCUGCAAUGGUUGAGGAGCUGGGACAAGCCCAGCUCAUGAUGCAUCUCAACAGAUUGAAGCUGCAGUUUGUGAUCGAAAUGAAGGUUUUCAGCGAAACCAAGUUUCAGAUAAAGCAACUACCUGCAACUCGAAGAAUUCAUUUAAAAGCUGCAAUGGUUGAGGAGCUGGGACAAGCCCAGCUCAUGAUGCAUCUCAACAGAUUGAAGCUGCAGUUUGUGAUCGAAAUGAAGGUUUUCAGCGAAACCAAGUUUCAUAUAAAGAAUAACCUGCAAUUCGAAGAAUUCAUUUAAAAGCUGCAAUGGUUGAGGAGCUGGGACAAACCCAGCUCAUGAUGCAUCUCAACAGAUUGAAGCUGCAGUUUGUGAUCGAAAUGAAGGUUUUCAGCGAAACCAAGUUUCAGAUAAAGCAACUACCUGCAACUCGAAGAAUUCAUUUAAAAGCUGCAAUGGUUGAGGAGCUGGGACAACCCCAGCUCAUGAUGCAUCUCAACAGAUUGAAGCUGCAGUUUGUGAUCGAAAUGAAGGUUUUCAGCGAAACCAAGUUUCAGAUAAAGAAUUACCUGCAACUCGAAGAAUUCAUU